GUGCACCAGUCGAGAAACUUCACAAUGUGCGAAAGCACGAUGAGGGAAUCCCAAGUGCUUGCACGUAAGUGUAAGCUGUUUCUCUGUCUAAAACGCAGAGAGAGUAAGGGCUGGGUAAGACGGGUGCCAGCCGCCGCGGUAAUACCUGCAGCUCGAGUGGUGACCGUUAUUAUUGGGCCUAAAACGUCCGUAGCCGGUUUAAUAAAUGCCUGGGUAAAUCGGACCGCUUAACGGUUCGAAUUCCGGGUAGACUGUUAAACUUGAGACCGGGAGAAGUUAGAGGUACUCCUGGGGUAGAGGUGAAAUUCUGUAAUCCUAGGGGACCACCAGUGGCGAAGGCGUCUAACUAGAACGGGUCUGACGGUGAGGGACGAAGCCCUGGGGCGCAAACGGGAUUAGAUACCCCCGUAGU
rnacentral:rRNA from 1 species